UACGUAGGGUGCGAGCGUUAAUCGGAAUUACUGGGCGUAAAGCGUGCGCAGGCGGUUUUGUGAGACAGAUGAGAAAUCCCCGGGCUUAACCUGGGAACUGCAUUUGUGACUGCAAGACUAGAGUGCGGUAGAGGGGGGUGGAAUUCCACGUGUAGCGGUGAAAUGCGUAGAUAUGUGGAGGAAUACCGAUGGCGAAGGCAGCCCCCUGGGUCGUCACUGACGCUCAUGCACGAAAGCGUGGGGAGCAAACAGG
rnacentral:rRNA from 1 species